rnacentral:rRNA from 1 species
GAUGAACGCUGGCGGCGUGCCUAAUACAUGCAAGUCGAGCGAACAGACGAGGAGCUUGCUCCUUUGACGUUAGCGGCGGACGGGUGAGUAACACGUAGGUAACCUACCUAUAAGACUGGGAUAACUUCGGGAGACCGGAGCUAAUACCGGAUAAUAUUUCGAACCGCAUGGUUCGAUAGUGAAAGAUGGCUUUGCUAUCACUUAUAGAUGGACCUGCGCCGUAUUAGCUAGUUGGUAAGGUAACGGCUUACCAAGGCAACGAUACGUAGCCGACCUGAGAGGGUGAUCGGCCACACUGGAACUGAGACACGGUCCAGACUCCUACGGGAGGCAGCAGUAGGGAAUCUUCCGCAAUGGGCGAAAGCCUGACGGAGCAACGCCGCGUGAGUGAUGAAGGUCUUCGGAUCGUAAAACUCUGUUAUUAGGGAAGAACAAACGUGUAAGUAACUGUGCACGUCUUGACGGUACCUAAUCAGAAAGCCACGGCUAACUACGUG